rnacentral:rRNA from 1 species
AUACGUAGGGUGCGAGCGUUGUCCGGAAUUACUGGGCGUAAAGAGCUCGUAGGUGGUUUGUCGCGUCGUCUGUGAAAUUCCGGGGCUUAACUCCGGGCGUGCAGGCGAUACGGGCAUAACUUGAGUACUGUAGGGGAGACUGGAAUUCCUGGUGUAGCGGUGAAAUGCGCAGAUAUCAGGAGGAACACCGGUGGCGAAGGCGGGUCUCUGGGCAGUAACUGACGCUGAGGAGCGAAAGCAUGGGUAGCGAACAGGGUUAGAUACCCUGGUAGUCCAUGCCGUAAACGGUGGGCGCUAGGUGUAGGGGUCUUCCACGACUUCUGUGCCGUAGCUAACGCAUUAAGCGCCCCGCCUGGGGAGUACGGCCGCAAGGCUAAAACUCAAAGGAAUUGGCGGGG